rnacentral:lncRNA from 1 species
UGUCAGGCCUCUCAGCCGAAGCUCAACCAUUGUAACCCCUGUGACUUGCACAUAUGCGUCCAGAUGGCCUGCGGGAGCCAAGAAGUCUGGGGCAGCCAAAAACCCACAAAAGAAGUAAAACAGCCACUUCCUGCCUUAACUGAUUAACAAACAUUCCACCAUUGUGACUGGUCCCUGCCCUACCUUAACUGAUCAACCAUCCUUGUGACAUUCUUCUUCUGGACAAUAAGUCUUAUGAUCUCCCCAUCAUGUACCUUGUGACCCCCUCCCCUGCUAACAAUAGAUAACAACCACCUUUUACUGUAAUUUUCCAUUACCUACCUAAAUCCUAUAAAGCAACCCCUUCCCCAUCUCCCUUCAUUGAUUCUCUUUUCGGACUCAGCCCACUUGCACCCAAGUGAAUAAACAGCCUUGUUGCUCACACAAAGCCUGUUGGUGGUCUCUUCACACGGAUGCAUUUGACAUUUGGUGCUAUGACUUGGAUCGGGGGACCUUCCUUGGGAGAUCAAUCCCCUGUCCUCCCGCUCUUUGCUCCGUGAGGAAGAUCUACCUACGACCUCGGGUCCUCAGACCAGCCCAAGGAACAUCUCACCAAUUUUAAAUCGGUGACCCACUGGAAAUCAGACCGCCCAGCUCACCCGGCAGCCACUUCCAGAGCCCAGCCCCUAAAGCUCUGGCCCAAGGGUCUCUGACUGACUCCUUACCAGACCUGCUCAGCUUAGUGGCUGAAGACUGACGCUGCCCAAUCACCUUGGAAGCCCCCUGGACCAUCAUGGAUGCCAAGCUUCGGGUAACUUUCACAGUGGAGGGCUCCGGAUAAGAAAAUUUGACUGCCUUCAGCCAUAAUUCCCUUCCGAAGCUUUUGGAAAACCUCCCGGCCUUCCAAGAAGGGUCUUGCUUACUUCCCCAGUCUGGAAUACAGUGGUGUGAACACAGCUCACUUAGCCUCGACUUCCAGGAUUCAAGUGAUCCUCCCACCUCAGUCUCUUGAGUAGCUGGGACUACAGCGCAUGUCACCAGGCUUGGCUAAUUUUUUGAUUUUUUGUAGACAAAGGGUCUCACUAUGUUGCCCAGGCUGGUCUUGAACUCCUGGGCUCAAGUGAUCUGUCUGCCUCAGGCUCCCAAAGUGCUGGGAUUACAAGUGUGGGUCACUGUGCUCAGCUGAACUGCUUUAAGGCUAUAUUUGGACUUUGAAGUCAAAUGAAAAUGUAUAUGAAGCCAUGUGAAUAUAUGAAACAGAUCAAAGCUAUUUACUAUGGACAGAGCCCAGGGCCUCUGAGGCAACACUGAAGAACCUCCAGUGCUCUACAGAACAUUCUGGAAAUCCCUACACUAGAUGAGCUCUUCCCGUUCUGACAUCACAUCACUUUCAUAAUAACAACCAAAAAAGUAAAUUUGGUCAGGUUGAAAUCCAUCCAAAUUCAUCUUCUACUUUUUUUUUUUUUUGGCUUGGACAACAGCAAAGACGUGAGGAACUAUACUGGUCCUUUGUGUUAAUGCUUGUACUAGUAAAAUAUUUAGGUUUUAAUCAUGGCUGGUUUGGUGUGCUUCAUUCAUUCAUUCAACUGUGCUAAAAACUGGGGCUAUGAAGACAAGUGUGGUCUCAAACUGCUAGUCUCCUGGGGAAAAGAGGUAAACAAGCAUAACACAGUAUUACAGCAGUUAAUGGUAUCAGCAGACUCCUGGCACAGUGGGAGCAACUCAAUUCUGCAGGAGGAGGGAAGGUAGAGGGAUAGGAAAAGAUUCACAUAAAUAGCAAUGCUAUUGACCGAGCACUUAAAAUGCAUCAGGCAGUGUUCUUAAUCUUUUAUGUAAUCAUUUUAGAGAUGAGAACAUUCAGAUAAAAGAUGGUUAAAUAACCUGCCUACAGAUUUUAAAAAAAAUGAUGGAGGCAAGAUUUACAACCAGGACAUACGACUUUAAGGCCCUACUCUUAAUCACUACACCAUUCUGCCUUUAUAUUGACAGACAUGGUAGCAGUUAAGCUGAAUCUUGAAGAGGUUCAUAUAAUCAGAUGACAGGGUAGAAGUCAGCAGAGAGGAGAGGAAGCAGCAUGAAUGAAAGGGAACAGAGGUACAAGACAGCAUGGCACACGGGGAGUUUGAAGUUGUUAGGCCAGCUGGAACACAGGGUGGAGGAGAGUCUGUGGGCAGGAAAACAGGUUAGAGGCGCUACGCUUCCCUCCCCCUUUGGCAAGAUCCCCAUCUUUGUCUCUGCAAUAACAGACCAAAAAGAAGUCUUAGAAAAUGGAGUAGACGGAAGAGAUGGAAUAACUGGAUUCCAUCUCAGAAUGCCAUUGACCUUGGAGUCUCUCUGAUCUUAGGGGAUAAUGGGUAAAUAAAAUGUAUGAAUUCUGCCUGAGGGCUGAAAAAAAAUAGAAAUAAAAUAAAAUGUGUGAAAGUUCCUACUGUUGACUAGAUAAACGUUGGCUGAAUCUGAAUGUGUGGCAGAUAUUACACAAAUUGGGGUCCUGGAUAAAAAGCGUAUAUGAAGUACUCUUAAGGAAGGGAAAGGAUAAGAACCAGACUGCAAAAAUCACUUCAGUUCCUGCGCAUGAUGAAAGGUUUAAGUGGCUGCCUUAUAAAAACUGCAGUGCUUGCUGUUAGAAUAAAUGAGCUGCACGAGAUAUCCUUAAAUCAAUGUAAAGUAGCUGUGGUUUGUAGUUUCUGCUGCCUGGCCAAACCAGUACCUUAACUACUCCCCUUGGCUUUGUGAGUAUUGUCACUGUAUAAUUUCAAACAAAAAAAAUCUCGAACAAGGUGUACAGAAUGGGGACAGUACACCAUCUGCCUGUGUACACGC